rnacentral:pre_miRNA from 1 species
UCUUGUGGAUGAACAAAGAACGUGGUUUUUUGAGAUGGAUUCUACUGCUGGUGGAGAUGCUGUGAA